rnacentral:rRNA from 1 species
AGAGUUUGAUCAUGGCUCAGGACGAACGCUGGCAGUGUGUCUUACACAUGCAAGUCGAGCGGGUUUCUUUAGCUGUAGCAAUACAACUAAAGAAAUCGAGCGGCAAACGGGUGAGUAAUGGAUAGGUAAUCUACCAUAAUGACUGGGAUACCCCCUUGAAAAAGGGAUCAAUACCAGAUAAUGUCAGUUUAAGUCCUCUUAAACUGAAGAAAGAUGGCGUAAGCUAUCACAUCAUGAUGAGCCUAUCUCCUAUCAGCUUGUUGGUGAGGUAAUGGCUUACCAAGGCUAUGACGGGUAGCUGGUCUGAGAGGAUGGUCAGCCACACUGGAACUUAGAUACGGUCCAGACUCCUACGGGAGGCAGCAGUGGGGAAUAUUGGGCAAUGGGCGAAAGCCUGACCCAGCGACACUGCGUGGGUGAUGAAGAUCUUUGGAUUGUAAAACCCUUUUCCUGAAGAUGAAAGGUAGAAUUGAAAAUAUCCUUUCUACCCUGACAGUAUUCAGGGAAUAAGCCCCAGCCAACUACGUGCCAGCAGCUGCGGUAAUACGUAGGGGGCUAGCGUUGUCCGGAAUUACUGGGUGUAAAGGGUGUGCAGGUUUCCUUUUAAGUUGAUUGUGAAAUCCAUGAGGCUUAACCUCUGAACUGCAGUCAAUACUGGAAGGAUAGAGGAUAUGUGAGGGAAGUGGAAUUCCCGGUGUAGCGGUGAAAUGCGUAGAUAUCGGGAGGAACACCAGCGGUGAAGACGGCUUCCUAACAUACUCCUGACGCUCAUACACGAAAGCUAAAGUAGCAAACAGGAUUAGAUACCCUGGUAGUCUUAGCCGUAAACGAUGGAUACUAGGUGUUGGAGAGUAAUUCUCUCGGCGCCGAAGCCAACGCGUUAAGUAUCCCACCUGGAAAGUACGAUCGCAAGGUUGAAACUUAAAUGAUUGACGG